rnacentral:rRNA from 1 species
UAGGGAAUCUUCCACAAUGGGCGCAAGCCUGAUGGAGCAACACCGCGUGAAUGAAGAAGGUCUUCGGAUCGUAAAACUCUGUUGUUAGAGAAGAACACGAGUGAGAGUAACUGUUCAUUCGAUGACGGUAUCUAACCAGCAAGUCACGGCUAACUACGUGCCAG